rnacentral:rRNA from 1 species
AAUCCGUUUGAUCCUGGCGGAGGCUACUGCUAUUGGGGUUCGAUUAAGCCAUGCAAGUCGAACGAAUCAACUUGUUGAUUCGUGGCGAACGGCUCAGUAACACGUGGAUAACCUACCC